AUGGCGGAGCUCGUGGCCACCAUGGUGGUCGGGCCACUGCUGUCCAUUCUCAAGGACAAGGUGUCCAGCAGCCUCCUCGACCAGUACAAGGUGAUGAAAGGCAUGGAGGAGCAACAUGAGAUCCUGAUGCGCAAGCCGCCUGCCAUCCUGGAUAUCAUCGCCGACGCCGAGCAGGCCGCUUCCCACAGAGAAGGGGCGGCGGCCUGGCUCCAGGCCAUCAAGAAGGUGGCUUACCAGGCCAACGAAGUCUUCGACGAGUUCAAGUACGAGGCACUUCGUCGCAAGGCCAAAAAGGAGGGACACUACAAGGAGCUUGGCUUUGAUGUGGUAAAACUCUUUCCCACCCACAACCGUUUUGUGUUCUGUAACAGGAUGGGAAGAAAGCUCCGCAAGAUUGUGCAGGCCAUCGAGGUCCUUGUGACCGAAAUGAAUGCCUUUGGCUUUAAGUAUCAGCAACAGCCGCCGGUAUCCAGUCCGUUGCGGCGGACGGAUCAUGCUAGCAGUGACCCAGAGGAAAUCAAGAAACUCAUCAAUGGAUCCAGAGCCAACGAUAAGAGGGAAAUUGUUAGUAGACUAGUUGGGCAAGCUAACAAUGAAGCUCUCACGGUUAUUCCCAUCGUUGGAAUGGGUGGUCUGGGCAAGACCACGUUUGCACAAGUUAUCUACAAUGUACCUGAAAUUCAAAAGCACUUUAAUUUGAUGCUAUGGGUGUGCAUCUCUGACAACUUUGAUGUGGAUUCUCUGGCUACAAGAAUAGUUGAAGCAGCUUCUCCUGAGAAGAAGGAUGAUGGCACAAAAGAAACCGCUCCCAAGAAGAAGAAAACACCACUGGAUAAACUUCAGGAUUUGGUCAGCGGGCAAAGGUACCUCCUUGUACUGGAUGAUGUCUGGAAUAAAGAGGUUUAUAAAUGGAAACAGCUUAAGGCCCGACUUCAACAUGGUGGCAUGGGUAGUGUGGUUUUGACAACAACUCGUGAUGGCGGAGUUGCUGAAAUUAUGCGUACUGUUGAAGCGUAUAAUCUCAGAGCUUUGAAACAUCAAUACAUAAGGGAAAUUAUCGAGACAACAGCAUUCAGCCAUUUCAAGAAGGAAGAGGAAAGGUCUGCCGAGUUGGUGAAUAUGGUUGAUAAGAUUGUGGGGAGAUGUUCUGGCUCUCCUUUAGCUGCAACAGCACUGGGCUCCAUACUGUCUACCAAGACCAGUAAGGAAGAAUGGGAGACUGUAUUAAGCAGAAGCAGCAUUUGCACCGAGGAGAAUGGAAUCUUACCAAUACUCAAGCUCAUUUGCACUGAGGAGAAUGGAAUCUUACCAAUACUCAAGCUCAUUUGCACUGAGGAGAAUGGAAUCUUUCCUUUUUCUGUUUUUUUUUUGGUUCACAGAACAUUUCAAAGGGUUUUCACCUUUUUAUCCACUGGUUUUCUUUUCUGUUUUCUGCCUCUUCUAAAUUUUUCACGUUUUCUGGUUUCUUUUCUGUUUUUCGUUAUGUUUCUUAUUUUCUUUCUACUCCCCACGUCCCAUAAUAUAAGAGUGCUUUUGACACGAGUAAUUCAUAAUCAUUUUACAAAUUAG
rnacentral:rRNA from 1 species